AUGGAGGCGCGGCCCGCGGGCGUGUGGAAGCGGCGGGAGGCCGGGAGCCGGGCGGGCCCGGAAGGUUGCGGAGAAGACGGCGGCUGCCGCGGGCCCGGGGGAAAGAAUUCUCCGGCGGUUUUAAGUUUUUAUGUAAUUUUUCUCAUGAAACGUGCACACACCCGUCCGUCCGCCCGUCCGCCCGCCCGCGCUCGCAUCCUGGCACGUGCGUACAUCCCGCGGCUCCGGCGGCGCUGCUCCUUCUGGAAGGCGACCCCUGCGCAGACCCGCAGGUACCCCGGCCUGAACCAGGGCGGCCCCUGCACGCAGUCUCGGCCCCCCGGGCGCCCGGCGCCGUCCUCGGCGUUUCGAUGGAGCGCGUGGUGCCCAGGCCCCCUCCUCGCCCCCUCGCCUUCUGUCUCCUCGCCUGGCGGACGCGAGCUGCAGCUUAGAAGGCGCCCCGACGACCAGACAACGACGAGACGACGACGGGGACGACGACGACGCACCCUGAGUCACCGGGAGCCGGACCGAGCCUGGAGCUCCUCCAGGAGGCGGUGGGAAGGGCAGCUCUUGGCAGAAGCGAUCCUCACCUGCAUGGCGGGGUUUCCCAAGAAGCGGAGGAAUAUUGAGGUGGAGAGUUUCACUUUCCUUCAGCGAUAAACAGAAAUAAUCCGCUUGAUUGCAGAGGAGUUAAAUGUCAAAGGGAGACUUAAUCCCAAUUAGCUUAUCUCCUUACCCUUUACCAGAGUGCAAAGCAGGAAAUUACCAUUUCCCUUCCUGCUGGGAAAUGACAGUCACCUAACAGAUACACCACACCUUUGUAUCACUGGAAACCAAUUUCGUCUUUAAAAAAUGACUAAUCUGUAAGAAAAAUGUUGACUUUUUUUUUAAACCAAAGUAUCUUUUUUUUAAAAAAAGUUAUUAUAUGCAAAAUCCCUAGACAAAUAGCACUGCCUGGAGGCACUUGAGAUAAAUUUAGAUCAGACACGAAAGUAUCUCUAUUUUUUUUUUCUCCUCUUCACAGUGGCUGGUUUCCUCCACUACUGCCAGCAUGGCAGCCACAUUCUCACGCCUCUCCUUCGCAUGAGCUGCACAUUUGCUAGAGGCCGUUUCGAUGUAGGGCAAACAACAGAUGUUCAAUAAAUACCUAAUUCCGUGGUUUUUGUACAGUGAGCCAGUGUUCCCUGGGGGUUCUCGAAAUUCUUUCAGAGGAUCAGUAAAAGUAUUAUGAAAAAGUUUCAUAAGAGAGUAAAGUAUUAUGAAAACGUUUCAUGAGUUUUUUGACUCUCUGUGAUCUCAUGAUCUCAGUAUUUCAAAUAUAGGAAAUAUCAGUAGAUAUAAUCUGUAUAACCAAAGCUUGGUGAAGUCCUUAGUAACUUUUAAGACUGAAGGGAUGCUGAGACCAAAAAUAUUGAAAAUUACUGCCCUAAAUGAUUGGUGAAUGAAACAUACAACUUGACCAAGAUGUGCUAAUAUAUAUGUAAUAUAAGCUACGCGAUACCUAAUGCCCAUCUAUGAGAAUGCCUUAAACCCCGAUGUUCUGAGAUACAGAAUAUGAAUCAGUGUUACUCUCAGACCCUGAGAGGGCUAGUGGGGCCAGGGCAGCUCUCUGGUUUUGCGAUCCAAUUCACUUGCAGAUCCAUUGGGAUCAGUGGUUUGUUGAGUUCAGUUAGUACUAGAUAGAUGGCUGACUUUGGGCUAGGACAAAUGAUAAAUCAAGAAUGUUUAAAUUGUUAAUAUGAGAUCCAUCAGUCUGGGUGUUUAGAAUCAGUUUUAGCUAUUUUCAGCUGUAUGCAGAUUUAUUAGAGAACAUUAGUAAUCUUUCCAAAAUUUUUCUUUGUGGCUGAGAACAGUGUCUGGAUCAUCUCAAGGCACUUGUAUGGCAGCACUGGCCCCGGGUUGCUGGGUAUCCCUGGUACCUCUGAAGGCUGGUCGUCUUGGCCACUACCUCCCUGGAACAGAUUACACACAGUGCCUCCUCCAUACCAACGGCUUAUAAUUCAUAUUGUCCUGAGGGUACAUCCAGUUGGGAACAGGCUAAGGAUCACUCCUAUACCCAAGUCACAAAGGAAGCCAAGAGAGUGAGGUUCUGAGUUCUAUGUUGGGGAUGCAGGAAUUUUAAGUGGGAAAUUCUCCAAACAUAGAGUGUUCACAAGGUAUUUGGUAUCAAAAAGUAGGUCUUCCCAUAAUCUUCCGCUUGGCUGUCCAACACAUACCAUUAGUCUAUACGUUAAAUAUCAACAAUAAUACAAUAUUAACCUUCAUACAAAUAAAAGCAUAUAUACCCUCCCCAUAGGAGAAACAGUUCUCUAUCAGUUAAAAAAUGAUAUCAGGAUUAAGUAACAGAAAACCCCAAUAACCAUGGUCUUAACAGAUGGAGGAGCCUUAUUUUUUUUUUUUUUAAUACAUUAAGAAGUCUAGAGGUAGGCAGUUUUUCACAUUGGUUCAGUUUUUCAGUAAUAUUGUAAAGGACAUAGGGUUUUCUUCUAGUUUCCUUUUUCAUUUUUAUGAGAUUUUGUAAAAGAUAUUAAAGUUAGUUCCUCAUAUCUUAUUUUGUGGUCAGGAUGGUUACCAACAGCUGUAGACAUCACACCUCAUCAGACCUUUCCAAGAAGGAAAAAAAUGGAAAGAGAAAAUUAUUUCUCCAUAUGAACUUUGUUCUUUUAACUGGAAAAACCCCCAACUACCAGCCAAGUAUCCCUGGGCAGACCUGGCUCACAUUGCUACCAUUUGGCAAGUCACUGAUAAAGAGGAAUGAUUAACUUAGAUCAAACAUGGUGUAGCCCCUAGGGCUAGGGAAAGAGCAAUGGACACAAUCUAAACAUGAAGCUGGGAUGCUGUUAGAAGGAAAGAAAUGGCAGGCAUUGCUGUUACAGUGGCAGUGGACACUGUCUUUUGGUUCAUAAUACCAAAAAAAAAAAAAAAAAAAAACCUCUUACACUAUUCAUCGUUUACUGGAGAUUAUUUUUACUGAGUUAUUGGUUAAAUAUUAUUUAAACAAAAUAUAUUUGUUUUGUGUAUAAUUUAGCAGUUGGUCAGAUAUUUUAGUAUGAUAUGAAAGUGCAUAGAUGCUGAGGAAUUAAAAUUGUCCAAAUAGUCCAGUUUUUUUCUGCCUUGUGAGCCUGUCUCACCAUCUCUGAGUAGCUAUGAGUGGUAAACACAAUACUUCUUGAGUUGGUAGCAGUACAGCUCUUAGAAAAGAAUCUAGAAGGGAAGAUUUAAAGCUAUAGAUGACAUUUAUGACAAAGUCUCUUGUAUGAAUGUGACCUUGCUGUUUUAUAUAAAUUUGCUCUUUUUAGAAACUACGCUCCAUGCCAAGCAUGGAGCCCAAUGCUGCGCUUGAACUCAUGACCCUGAGAUCAGAAGUCAGAUGCUUUAUCGACUGAACCACUCAGCUGCUCCUAUAACCUUCUUUUUAGUAGCCUCCUAAAUUAUAGGCUUUCUCCAGUUUAAGUGCUGGUGUCACAUGAUUUCAUUGCUCUCAGUUGCCCUAUUCCCCUCAGGUCCUUACUCAACUGAUUAAGUCAGUAUGAAAAUAGUAGCUUCUUGGAUAAUUGGAGUUUCUUUUUAAAAUUUUUUUUUAAGGUUUGUUUUUAUUUAUGAUAAACAUAGAGAGGCAGAGACACAGGCAGAGGGAGAAGCCAGGAUCCACGCCAGGAGCCCGACGCGCGAAGCCGCUGAGCCACCCAGGGAUCCCCUGGAGUUUCUUUUUUCUUUUUUUUUUAAUUUUAUUUUAUUUUUAAUUUUUAUUUAUUUAUGAUAGUCACAGAGAGAGAGAGAGGCGCAGAGACACAGGCAGAGGGAGAAGCAGGCUCCAUGCACCGGGAACCUGAUGUGGGAUUCGAUCCCGGGUCUCCAGGAUCGUGCCCUGGGCCAAAGGCAGGCGCCAAACCGCUGCGCCACCCAGGGAUCCCUGGAGUUUCUUUUUUAAAGCUUUGUCAAUGUAUAAUUGCACACAUGUAGUAUAUAUAGCUUGAUGAGUUUGAACAUGUGCCAUGAUACCCAGGAUAGCAUCGCCACAACCAUGGCGGGGUCAGAGUGCCCUCUGCUGAUCCCUGGAGUCCCAUGCUCAUUCAGCACAGGAAAGUAAAGUCACUCAGAUCUAGUCCGGGUGUGUGGGCAAAGUGCUGAGGAGUCCCUCUUUUCAGCACCUCAUCUGUCAAUAGCAACACCCUGUGAAAGUUCAAGAUUCAAAGGGUGUUUCAGUCAAGUGAUGGUACGCACAGUUAGGUACAUCUCUCUUUCUCAUCUAAAAAUAUUAAAUGAUCUAAUGUUAGAAAAAAGGUGUUAGGGAAGGCUUAGAAUAUUUUC
rnacentral:lncRNA from 1 species